rnacentral:sRNA from 1 species
CGUGGAGGCUGGUUUAGUGGGUUUUGGGGUAAGAAAGAGUCUAAGAAAAAGGACGAAGAAUCAUUGAUUCCUGAAACUAUUGAUGACCUUAUGACUCCAGAGGAAAAAGAUAAACUCUUCACUGCCAUUGGUUAUAGUGAGAGUACCCACAACCUAACUUUACCUAAGCAGUAUGUUGCCCAUAUAAUGACCCUGAAGUUAGUAAGCACCUCUGUUACGAUAAGAGAAAACAAGAAUAUUCCAGAAAUACUAAAAAUUCAGAUAAUUGGCCUGGGCACUCAAGUAUCUCAGCGACCAGGAGCACAAGCACUUAAGGUAGAAGCGAAAUUAGAACACUGGUAUAUAACAGGUUUGAGACAGCAGGAUAUUGUACCGUCACUUGUGGCUUCAAUUGGUGACACUACAUCAUCCUUGCUUAAAAUUAAAUUUGAAACCAAUCCGGAGGAUACUCCUGCUGACCAGACUCUGAUUGUUCAGUCCCAGCCUGUGGAGAUCAUCUAUGAUGCUGUAAGUGCAAGGAGAAAGUAACUCUUUAUUUAAAUCAUCUUAUAUUUCCGACGUACAGUUUUAUUAUUUCUCCUCUUUCAUAUUUAACAUUUAUUUACUUAAUAAGU